GCAUCGAAAAGUGAGGUUAUGUGAUUUUGUUUACAAAUGAGUGCUGUGAAAAAGUUCUGUUUUUAAAGUAUUUUGCUGUAAAAAAUGUGUAAAAUAGUGAAUCAUUUGUGUCUAAAUUGACGAAGGAUGAGACAAAGCUGCCCAAGAAUGGAUCAAAGCCUCUGUAACUGCAGGAUAUGUGUGGCACAGAAACGAAAACACAGAGUUCUCAUCCGGUCUCGCUUUGUUGUUGUUUGGUAGUACAUAUUCCACGUAAAUUGGCUGAAGGCAGGCUAUGCAGAUGUCAGGGGGGGAACCCUGUGCUUACAGAUGGAAGAGAAUACGGCUCAAGGCUGGUUAAGCCUUUACAGAUGAAAAGCAAACCUUUGCGGCGAUGCCGGCACUUCAACAUGUCGAAAAAUGCGAAAAAUGAAUAAUUAUAGGCAAAAUCAGACGAAGGAUCUGCACAUAGGGAACUCAAAUUGAGCCCACCUUUAGAGGAGUGAAGAAAAAAGUGAUCGGAGGAGGAGUUUCGAAGAAUAUUGGUGCUAUCACUGGCACUCACAACUCAAUCCGAAUUUGUUUCCACUGCCCAAUUGCUCUGUCUUUAGUUCUGUCCAGAUAUCCCUCUGUUAAGACAUUGUUGACAUCAGAUGUCCGUGCAAUCUUCCGGUUGCUUCCAAGUGUACGGAGAUCCCGAUACAACAGCUACACAGGAUGUCUGAACAGACCACUAAUCCUGGAAGACUUUUCUGGCCACUCACGCGUUCCAUGGGGCUUCUGAGACACUGCUGGAUGUCAAUUGGAAACGAAUGAUAUUUUUGGACUCGAUACUGGACAAGGCCUUUUGAUCUUGAUAUAAUUAGAACUAGAAAUAUCUCAGAAAAAUUAGUUGCUGUGACGUCGUAGACAUUGACUGAGUUUCCUAGUGAUGUUAUUGGAAUUUGUCUUUCCCAUGAACACGACACUGGAUGAACGAAACCUUGUUUCGGGUACUCUGGGAUCAUUCUGCCACAAGAGUUCAAAUCCACCAAAAAUAUGAGCAAGAGCUUCCGGAAAUCUUCAAACAUUUAUAUUUGUAUGAACUCUUAAAACUCCUCUAUUUACCAUAUUGUGUAGAUUUUAAUUUAAUGAUGUUAAAAAAAAUAAAGUAAUGUCUUUUCCCUGGAA